CUUUAACACUUUCAUUACCGCUACGAUUUUCACGAUGUUUUCUCGGGAGCCGCCUACAUUUUACGUUGGACUCGCUAGGUGAGUCGCCGGCGCUGCGAUACGAAUCAUUCGACUCGCCACGCGAGUUCAGUGGCAUUGCGUUAGGGUAAAAACUAUGUUCUGUUAUUUUUGUGGCCGUGACAGUGUACGUUACGUGUUUAAAGCAAUUAACUAGUAUAUGGUGUAAUUUAACAAAAAGAAAAUGGCAAGAAACACUAUAAAUAAACGAAAAGGCCACCACAAAACACAAUAACAUAGAACACAAGAAUCUCAAAGUCCAGAAAACGUUUGCCAGGGGUUAAAACAGUAGGUACUCCAACAGGUCCAGUAAUAAAAUACCGGUUCCUUUUGUUUUGCCGGCAAUUUUUAACAAUGCGAAGGGAUCCUCUUUCAGUUGUAACUCUUAAAGUAAUAGACCGAGAGUUGAGUUUGUGUUUUCUGCACCGUUCGUUUAACAAAAACGCAAGGACAGACUCAAAAACUUAGAAGUACCCAUUUGGUGAACACCAAAUUCGAGCCCCUACAAGGUGUCGAACACAAUCCGCCGUUGUUUUACGAGUGAAUGUGACUUUUGGUAAAAUGAAAAUAAAAGUAUCUACCUUU
rnacentral:lncRNA from 1 species